GCCCGGGUGGCUCAGUUGGUUGAGCAUCUGACUUCAGCUCAGGUCAUGAUCUCACAGUUUUGUGGGUUCGAGCCCCACAUCAGGCU
rnacentral:tRNA from 1 species